rnacentral:rRNA from 1 species
UACAGGGGGGGCAAGCGUUGUUCGGAAUUACUGGGCGUAAAGGGCUCGUAGGUGGCCAACUAAGUCAGACGUGAAAUCCCUCGGCUUAACCGGGGAACUGCGUCUGAUACUGGAUGGCUUGAGUUCGGGAGAGGGAUGCGGAAUUCCAGGUGUAGCGGUGAAAUGCGUAGAUAUCUGGAGGAACACCGGUGGCGAAGGCGGCAUCCUGGACCGACACUGACGCUGAGACGCGAAAGCGUGGGGAGCAAACAGG